UACGAAGGGGGCGAGCGUUGUUCGGAUUUACUGGGCGUAAAGGGCGCGUAGGCGGCCAUUCAAGUGACGGGUGAAAGCCCUCGGCUUAACCGAGGAACUGCCUGUCAGACUGGAUGGCUUGAGACCGGGAGAGGUGAGUGGAAUUCCCAGUGUAGCGGUGAAAUGCGUAGAUAUUGGGAGGAACACCAGUGGCGAAGGCGGCUCACUGGACCGGAACUGACGCUGAGGCGCGAAAGCGUGGGGAGCAAACAGG
rnacentral:rRNA from 1 species